AUGUCGAAAUAUGGAGAAGCCUUAUCUUGUAUGGAAGAAAUGAUGCAUCUCAAACUUCCUAUGUCCGAAAAGGGCCAAAUCUUAGAAGCAGAGUUUACAUUGAAAUUGAUGAAAUCAUCUGGUUGCAAUCCAGAUGUGGUUACAUAUACUGCAAUGCUUGAUGCCAACAAUGCAACAGGAAAAUGUGGAAAGAUUGAAACUAUGUUUAAGUUAAUUCUUCCAAAUAAAAUAUUUAGAGGCACUACAAUGGAUGGAGGAUGCAGGAAUUUGUCCCUCAAAUGA